UGGGGAAUAUUGGACAAUGGGCGCAAGCCUGAUCCAGCCAUGCCGCGUGAGUGAUGAAGGCCCUAGGGUUGUAAAGCUCUUUCACCGGUGAAGAUAAUGACGGUAACCGGAGAAGAAGCCCCGGCUAACUUCGUGCCAGCAGCCGCGGUAAUACGAAGGGGGCUAGCGUUGUUCGGAAUUACUGGGCGUAAAGCGCACGUAGGCGGGUAUUUAAGUCAGGGGUGAAAUCCCGGAGCUCAACUCCGGAACUGCCUUUGAUACUGGGUACCUAGAGUAUGGAAGAGGUGAGUGGAAUUCCGAGUGUAGAGGUGAAAUUCGUAGAUAUUCGGAGGAACACCAGUGGCGAAGGCAGCCCCCUGGGUCAAGAUUGACGCUCAUGCACGAAAGCGUGGGGAGCAAACA
rnacentral:rRNA from 1 species